rnacentral:lncRNA from 1 species
AGCGCAGAUCCUGCCGGCUCUGGACUAGCCGCUCAGCACCAGGGCGGAAGGAAGACGAGGCGAGGCAAGCGCCAAGCUUCCAUCCGGACUUCAAGGCCAGUGGCUGGGUCUGGUUUUCUCAACACGGCCUCCUAGUCUCCUUCCCGCUUGGGCAUCUGUUUUUCUUAUAUAGACCCUGAAGCCGCCCGUGAUGUUCUGUAAGCAGGUUCCGCUUCAGAAUCAGAGGUACUUAAGAGGGAACCUGGAUGCUAGACCUGCCCUUGCUGCUGGCCUCAGUUUCUUUACCUGUAAAACAGGGAUUUUGGAACUGUUAAAUUAAAUCAAACUUAAAAGAAUUACAACUUAAAGCUGCUGGAACUUUACAUGAUCCCGAGCCUUGAGAGGAAUGUGGCUAUGCAGCCUGAGUCAUGUGGCAUGCAGAUGCAACCUCUGCCUUUUUCCGCUGUAAAUAAUUAAGAAGACCAAGUAGCAUCCAAGAGUCACCUAAGCUGAAGAUUCCCUUGAGAACAAGUACUGUCCUGUGGUUUCAUGGCCUUUCUUCCAUUUGUGGUUCUUGCCAAGCGGAAUUUAAAUGACAUCUUAUCAAGAUGGAUAAACCCUAGUUUCCCAGUGCUGGAAUAUAGAAAAUGGAUGGACAAGUAAAUCCCACUCAGCACCCAUAGCCCAGGCAUGGGGACCUCAACACAUUUGAGCCGCAGAGAUCACCUUUCAUUGUGAAUAGCUCUGAGAUGAUACUUCUGGUUGAAUGUCUUUUUGUCACUUCCGGCUGGAUCUACCAUGAAAGAUUUCUGAAUCCAGGAAGAGAGAUUGACUGGGCAACAUGUUAUUCAGAAACAGGACCUUGCCCUGUCACUCAGGAUGGAGUUCAGUGGUCCAAUCAUGGCUCAUUGUAGCCUCAAACUCCCAGGCUCAAGCAAUCCUACCACGUCAGUCUUCCCAGUAGCUGACAGGGUCUCACUCUGUCGCCCAGGCUGGAGUGCAGUGGCAUGAUCUUGGCUCACUGUAGUGUAGACUUCCCAGCCUCAAGGGAUCCUCCCACCCCAGACUCCCAAGUAGCUGGAAUUACAGGUCUCAUGCUCUCACUCAGGCUGCAGUACAGUGGCACAACCUCUACUCACUGCAGCCUCUACCUGCCAGGCUCAAGCAAUUCUCCUGACUUAGCCUCCCGAGUAGCUGGGAUUACAGUUGAAGCAUAUGUCCUGUGAGCUUAGGGGUGCUACAAGUUGACCACUGCAGCAGUAAAGAUGAUUCUGAAGAAUGGCAUGGGAUGGAUCCUUUCGAAUGCACUUGAGCAGCGGUCUCCAACCACAGGGCCACAGAGCUGGAGCUGGAUCUACCAUGAAAGACUUCUGAAUCCAGGAAGAGAGACUGACUGGGCAACAUGUUAUUCAGGAGAUGGGGUCUCACCCUGUCGCCCAGGCUUGAGUACAGUAGUGCUAUCACAGCUCACUGCAGCCUUGAACUCCUGGGCUAAGGAUCCUCCUACCUGAGCCUCCUGAGUAGCUGGGACUGUAGGGUCUCCCUCUGUUGUCCAAGGCUGGAGUGUAGUAGUGCUAUCACAGCUGACUGCAGCCUCAACCUUCCAGGCUGAAGCGAUCCUCCCAUCUCAACCUCCCACGUGGCUGAGACUACAGGCGCUUGCCACUAUGCCCAACUAAUAUUUGGAAUUUUCCUAUACGUGGAUUCCAGAGGGGUGACAGCGAAACGUGGGACCAUCCAGUUGCAGGAAAACGAGCUUAACACGCCCACUGAUUCUACAUUAUGCUCCUACCUCCCGGCAGCCUCUCCAGGCCCAGAACUUUCUCCAGUCGGCCUCCACAGACCAAGCUCAUGACUCACAAUGGCCUAUUUAGGCCCAUACCCUACCUCACGGCAGUCUCCGCAGAUGAGGCUACUGCCUCACAACAGCCUCCACAGGCACAGCUCCAUCGUUACAAUGGCCUCUUUAGACCCAGCUCCUGCCUCCCAGCCUUCUCUCUAGGCCCUGAACUUUCUCAAGUCGACGUCACCAGGCCCAGCUCAUGCUUCUUGGCAGCCUCUCCAGGCCCAGCUCUUCCUCCCGGCGGCCUCUGCAGGCCCAGACUGUCAUCAAGUCGGCCUGUCCAGGGCCAGCUCCUGCCUCCCGGCGCCCUCUGCAGGCCCAAGUCGUCCUCAAGUUGGCCUCCCCAGGCCCAGCUCCAGCCUCUCGGCGGCCUCUCCGGGUGCAAAAGUUCCUCGAGUCAGCCUCUCCAGGCCCAGCUCCUCCUGCCUCCCAGUGCCUCUUUCGGCCCAGCCCAGCUCAUGCCUCUGGGCGGCCUUCCCAGGCCCCGCUUUUGACUUUUGGCGGCCUCUGCAGGCCUCGACAAGGCCCGGCCUCCUGCCUCCCGAAGCCUGCACAGGCCCAGCCUCUGCCUCACAGCAGACUCUCCACGCCCAGCUAGCUCUCGCCUCACUGCGGCCUCCCCAGUCCAAAGCUCCUGCCUCUCGGCCGCUUCGGCAGGCCCAGCUCCCGCCUGCCAGUGCCUCUUCAGGCCCAUGGGGCUCAUUCCUCACAACGGCCUUUCCAGGCCCCGUUUUUCCCUUCCGGCGGCCUCUCCGGGCCCAGAACCUCCUCAAGUUGGCCUCUCCAGACCCACUUGCACCCUCCGGGCGUCCUCUCCAGGCCCAGCUCUUCCUCCCGGCUGCGUCUCCAGGCCCGACUCCUGCCUCCCAACAACCUCUUUGGACUCAGUGCCUGCCCAUCUCCUGGCGGCCUUGGUCGGCCCACAGCUUCCUCAAGCCAAGCUCCCCAGGCCCAGGUCAGGCCUCACGGUGGCCUCUCCAGGAUCAGCUCCUGCCCUCCGAUGGUGUCUCCAGGCCCCAAAUGGUCUCCGGCCAGUGGGCUCCUCCACGCCCAGCUUGGGCCUCCCGGCGACCUCUGCAGGCCCAAGUCGUCCUGAAGUCGGCCUCUCCCGGCCCUGCCUCCCAGCAAGUAAGCAAGCUUUUUUGGCUUAGCUCCUGCCCAGCUCCCAACCGCCUUUGUAGGCCCCGAACUUUCUCCAGCCAAGCUCUUCGGGCCCACCUCCUGCCUCCCGGUGGCCUGUACAGGCCCAGCUCUGGCUGGAGAACAGCCUCUGCAGGCCCCGCUCUUGCCUCCCAGGGGCCUCUCCAGGCCCAGCUCUCGCCCCCACAGCGGCCUCCCGGGGCCAAGUCCCUGCCUGCCUCCCGGCAUCCCGCAUGCAGCCCAGCUCCUCCCUCACGGUGGCCUGUUGAUGCCCAACUCAUGCCUCUGGCACCCUGCCCAGAGGCGUGAGCCCCUGCCUCACACCGGCUCCUCCCACGCUGACAGAGGUCAGCGUGAGCCCCUGCCUCAACAGGCCACCGUGAGGGAGGAGCAGGGCCGCACGCGGGCUGCCGGAAGGCGGACAGGGACUUGGCCCCGGGAGGCCGCGGUGGGGCAAGAGCUUGGCCUGGAGACGCCCCUGGGAGGCAACAGCAGGGCCUGCAGACGCUCUUCUCCAGCCAGAGCUGGGACUGUACAGGCCACUGGGAGGCAGGAUGUGGGCCUGAAGAGCUUGGCUGCAGAAACUUUGGGGUCUACAAACGCCGGCGAGAGCUGAGCCGAAAGAGCUUGCUUGCUGGGAGGCAGGAGCUGGGCCGGGAGAUGCAGCCAGGAGGAACAGCUGGGCCUGCAGAGGCCGCCAUGCGGGAGGCAGAGGCUGGGCCUCCUCAAGUUGGCCUCUCCAGACCCACUUGCAGCCUCCCGGCGUCCUCUCCGGGCCCAGCUCUUCCUCCCGGCUGCGUCUCCAGGCCCAACUCCGGCCUCCCAACAAGGUCUUUGGACUCAGCUCCCCCGCAGCUUCCAGCGGCCCUGGUAGGCCCACAACUUCCUGAAGCCAAGCUCCCCAGGCCCAGCUCAGGCCUCACGGUGGCCUCUCCAGGCUCAGCUCCUGCCCUCCGACAGCGUCUCCAGGCCCCAAACGGCCUCCGGUCGGUGGGCUCCUCUAGGCCCAGCUUGGGCCUCCCGGCAGCCUCUGCAGGCCCAAAUCGUCCUGAAGUCGGCCUCUCCAGGCCCAGCUCCAGCCUCCCGGCGGCCUCUGCAGGCCUAAGUCGUCCUCAAGUCGGCCUGGAAAUGGGCCUGGAAGAGCUGCAAGUCGGCCUCCCCGGGCCCAGCUCCGUCCUCUCGGCGGCCUCUCCAGGUGCAAAACUUCCUCGAGUCAGCCUCUCCAGGCCCAGCUCCUCCUGCCUCAGUGGCCUCUUUCGGCCCAGCCCAGCUCAUGGCUCUCGGCGGUCUUCCCAGGCCCCGCUUUUGACUUUUGGUGGCCUCUUCAGGCCCAGAACUUGACCUCCAGUCGGCCUUUGCAGGCCCGGCCUCCUGCCUCUCGAAGGUCUGCAUGGGCCCGGCCUCGGCCUCACAGCGGACUCUCCACGCCCAGCUAGCUCUCGCCUCACUGCACCCUCCCCAGUCCAAAGCUCCUGCCUUUCGGCCACUUCGGCAGGCCCAGCUCCUGCCUGCCAGUGGCCUCUUUAGGCCCAGCUCAUUCCUCACAACGGCCUUUCCAGGCCCCGUUUUUCCCUUCCGGCAGCCUCUUGGCCUCUAAUUUUUUUAUCUUUUGUGUAUAAAUCCCAAAUUAUGGAAUUUUGGAAUAUUUCCACCAUUAUAUAAAUAUUUUGGUAGGUAAUUUAAAAAAAA